CAUGGCAGUCAGAACAGAAACUUUCUGCAGGUUAAUUAUUGAUCAAACUAAAGUCAUAUUAAGGAGCAACUGGCACGGAGUCAGAGCAGAGCUCAGAAAUCUGAAAUAUAUCAAAGUAUAUUAAAGUUAAAGAGUUUAGAGAACGCUGUUUGGUUUGCUGCCUCAAAGGCAGAUGACUCUCAAUAUCACAAGAUCAGGUGAGAUUUCAGACCAAGGAAAAUCACUGGGAUUAUCUGUGAAGAGGCAGAAAAGCAUAGACGUGGUCUACCUUAUAGCCAUUUUGAAAAGGUGCAGCAGCUGACCUUUGACCUGUGAGCUUCAGACUCUUUGCUGGUGUGAAGUGUUUAAUGUGACUUCAGCCUGCAGACACAGAGGACGGUUACGGAGAAGAAACAGAGGAUUUUCUCAGUUUCUACACAGACCUGGUCCAGACAGCAGAGAGCUGCAGAGUGAAGACGUUCAUGGGAAGAAGCUGAGUGAAGGUAGAAAGUGUGUGUGAGCUGAUGUGAA